UGGGUGUGGUUGAUUGCCAGCUUGUUGAACUUUGUACUUCGGCUAAGGUGCUGCUCUAUGGCGGCCAGUACCUUGGCUAGGUGCAACGCUGAAUAGUUGGCUUCGAUAGUGAUGCGGCG
rnacentral:precursor_RNA from 9 species